CAGCAGCCGCGGUAAUACGAAGGGGGCUAGCGUUGCUCGGAAUGACUGGGCGUAAAGGGCGCGUAGGCGGAUUGUUUAGUUAGGCGUGAAAUUCCUGGGCUUAACCUGGGGACUGCGCUUAAUACAGGCAGUCUAGAGUGAGGAAGAGGGUUGUGGAAUUCCCAGUGUAGAGGUGAAAUUCGUAGAUAUUGGGAAGAACACCGGUGGCGAAGGCGGCAACCUGGUCCUUGACUGACGCUGAGGCGCGAAAGCGUGGGGAGCAAACAGGAUUAGAUACCCCUGUAGUCCCUGUCUCUUAUAA
rnacentral:rRNA from 1 species